AUCGCUUCUCGGCCUUUUGGCUAAGAUCAAGUGUAGU
rnacentral:snRNA from 2 species